rnacentral:lncRNA from 1 species
AAAUUCCUCGAUGACUUAGCUUUCAAGAUUCAACCUACAUUUAUAAUAGGGGCAAUUGCUUAUAUACCCCUGAAAAGUUUCCGACUUUUCGAUUUACCCCUCUUAGAAGGCUAAUAUUGAAAAUACCCUUUCUACGUUCCAACCUAUUUCUAAUAUAUCCCCAGAGUUAAAAUUUGUUAAUUAACUCUGUUAUCUCUGUAAAAUUACUAUUUUGCCCUUUCAAAUAUACCCUUCCACAAUCACUGACUUUCUUAUAUGCCCUUAAAAUCAGGGGCACAAAAAGUAUUAUGACUUUUGGUCUUUUCUAAUAUACCCCUCUAUCGUCACCAACAUUUCUUAUUUGCCCUUAAGUUAAGGGCAAAAUUGGUAUUUUAAUUUUUUUUUUAUCUAUGGUAGAUAUUUAACUCACGUUUAAUCCAAGUUAACUUAACAGGAGAUAACUGAGGGGGUAUUUUAUAAUAACGGUGGAAUAUAUGAGGAGUAUUUUAGAAAGAAAAAAAAGGUAGGGAUAAAUCGGAUAUUUUCAAACGUAUGACGGGUAUAUAGACAAUUAUCCCUUUAUAAUAUCUAUAAAUACUAGUCCGCAUAUUUAACUUUCAGGGCUUGUUUAACAC